UUCGGAGUGACGUACCGGAAGCUUAGUGGCAGACGGGUGAGUAACACGUGAGCAACCUGCCCUAUAGAGGGGAAUAACACACCGAAAGGUGUGCUAAUACCGCAUAAGUAUGUUUAUCGCAUGGUAGAUAUAUGAAAGAUUUAUCGCUAUAGGAUGGGCUCGCGGCUGAUUAGCUAGUUGGUGAGGUAACGGCCCACCAAGGCGACGAUCAGUAGCCGGACUGAGAGGUUGAACGGCCACAUUGGGACUGAGAUACGGUCCAGACUCC
rnacentral:rRNA from 1 species